CCUGUCCUUGCCUACAGAUCUGAGUUUUCUGAAACCAUCCUGUCGGUGCAUCCCUCGGAUGUCUUGGACAUGCCAGUGGAUCCCAAUGAACCUACCUACUGCUUGUGUCACCAGGUGUCAUAUGGAGAAAUGAUUGGCUGUGACAACCCAGAUUGCCCAAUUGAAUGGUUCCACUUUGCUUGUGUGGACCUCACAACCAAACCAAAGGGGAAAUGGUUUUGUCCACGUUGUGUUCAGGAGAGAAAGAAAAAGAAGUAAGGAGUAUAGGG